UCAUUGUUAACAUUUUUUGGUUACUUUUAUAAAUUAUAAAUUUUUUGGGUCAAGAUCAAAAUUGAAUAAAUAUGGAUCAAUUUGUAAUUUUUGAGGGGUCAAUUUGUAGUUCUUGAAUUACUAAGGGCCAAUUUGUAAUUUUUGGAAAUUUAUAGGGGUCAAUUUGAAAAAUACAGAGACCAACUUGCAAAAUUUGAAAAAAUUAUAAGGAAGAGAUUUGAAAUUUCUAGCUUUUAAGUGUCAUUUAUAAUCCCCUUAAAUUUAACUUAAACAAAAUACUUCAUAAUUUCAAUUAUUUUAAAAAUUCUACAAAUUAUCAUCCAAAUAAUGAAAUCUACUGAAAAAGAUUUGAACUGUCUCAAAAUUUAUAUUAGCUCAAAAUAUUUCUCCAUCCAAAAACAUUAUAUGGUUCAUUUAUAUUGCCACUAAACUAAAAGUAGUUUUAGAUAGAGUGCAAGAAAGAAAAUUUCCAAAGAAAAUGUGUAAACUAAGAGAAAACAAAGAAAUUACUACACACAAAAUUUAGCAUAUAUAGCAAAGAAACCAAGAAGUACAAUAGGAACCAUAUACCAACAUUGUUGAGAAAUCAUUUAAGCAAAAAGGAAGAAGAAAAGCUUUUAAAUUUCAUGGUUCCAAAACUUGUUUAUUUGUUAAUAAAACAAACUCCAACUCCUUUGACACUUGAGAAAAAACCUCUUCUUGAUCCUCCUACAGCUGUUACCUAAUUUAACCUUCAGCUUGAAUAUUUUGAUCCUCAAGUAUGAUGGUUUUCUUCGAGAAUCAACUUUCUCUAAUGCUUUGUAUAUUAAGAAUUGUGCUUGUCUAUGCUUUCUUUCUUCUGAGUCUUCCUUGUCCAUCUUUGAGUAACCAUGUUGUGGCCUCCUUGAUAGAGCCAUUUUCAUGAUCAUUGUGAGACUUGUAAAUUUGUAAUAGAUGAAUGAUAUUGUGGAAGCUACACAAGCUAUUUAUAAGCCAUGUAUAAGACUUUGGUUAAUUCUCUCCAAAAAAAAAAAAAGAC
rnacentral:lncRNA from 1 species